rnacentral:other from 1 species
GAACUCCUUACAGCAAUCUAAAUGAUCUUUUUUCUCCAAAAAAAACAAACCUUGAGUUCUG